UACGGGGGGAGCUAACGUUGUUCGGAUUUACUGGGCGUAAAGGGCGCGUAGGCGGCUUAGCAAGUCAGGGGUGAAAUGUCUCGGCUCAACCGAGGACCUGCCUUUGAAACUGCUGAGCUUGAGGCCGUGAGAGGAGACUGGAAUUCCUAGUGUAGCGGUGAAAUGCAUAGAUAUUAGGAAGAACACCAGUGGCGAAGGCGAGUCUCUGGCACGGUUCUGACGCUGAGGCGCGAAAGCCAGGGGAGCGAAC
rnacentral:rRNA from 1 species